UGGGGAAUAUUGCACAAUGGGGGAAACCCUGAUGCAGCGACGCCGCGUGAACGAAGAAGGUAUUCGUAUCGUAAAGUUCUGUCCUAUGGGAAGAUAAUGACAGUAACAUAGAAGAAAGCUCCGGCUAAAUACGUGCCAGCAGCCGCGGUAAUACGUAUGGAGCGAGCGUUGUCCGGAAUUAUUGGGCGUAAAGGGUACGCAGGCGGUUUAAUAAGUCGAAUGUUAAAGAUCGGGGCUCAACCCCGUAAAGCAUUGGAAACUGAUAAACUUGAGUAGUGGAGAGGAAAGUGGAAUUCCUAGUGUAGUGGUGAAAUACGUAGAUAUUAGGAGGAAUACCAGUAGCGAAGGCGACUUUCUGGACACAAACUGACGCUGAGGUACGAAAGCGUGGGGAGCAAACAGG
rnacentral:rRNA from 1 species